AGAUUAUUUUUUAGAAAUGAGCAGCCAAGAUACAGAAGGCGACGAAGAAGUUUCUGCAUUUUUUCGAAAUGUUCAAGAGAUCAGAGCCGAAGAGCUCUUGUCAAGUAAGCUAACUUUGUAUGAGAAGGAUAUGUUACAAAGAUAUAUAUUUCACCAAU
rnacentral:lncRNA from 1 species